UGAUUCAAGUUCAGCGUGUGUUGCGAACUAUUUGUUUCUCAGCAAAAGCCACGACGAAACGUUUUCUGGCUUUGGCGAAAAACACGCCGGUGACGUCGUCCACGCCCACCCUCAUGUCCACAGGCAGGGUGUAGAUGCUGAGCUGUAGUAACUGGUAGCCACUGACCCUGAGGCUGGCGCAGACCUGGGCCUCGUCCAAGGGCACCACGGGGAUGCGCAGCCCUGGCGCCCCCAGGUAGUAGCUCUCCCCCAGGGCACCAAUGAGCAGGAGGUGGCCCCCUGGGCGCAGCAGGGAGGUGAUGUGCCCCAGGGCCCGCGUGAACGCCGCCACGUCCGGGCUCGCGCUCUCCAAGCAGAAGCAGGACACCAGGCAGUCGGCUCCGCCUGUUGGCACAGCGGCGUCUGGGGGUAAAGGGCACGAGCGGUGCACGUCGAUGGGAAGGACAUCACUCACCACGGAGCGAAGUCGAGCAGCCUUCUCACUGGACUCUGAUGGCCUGUUGGAUAUGAGAGUGGAAACAAGGGGUGGGAAUAAAGAGAAAAUUCUUUUGACUUACACUCAGUCCUACGAGAUCAA